rnacentral:rRNA from 1 species
UGGGGAAUCUUGCACAAUGGGGGAAACCCUGAUGCAGCGACGCCGCGUGAGUGAUGAAGUCCUUCGGGAUGUAAAGCUCUUUCGACAGGGACGAUUAUGACGGUACCUGGAGAAGAAGCUGCGGCUAACUACGUGCCAGCAGCCGCGGUAAUACGUAGGGUGCGAGCGUUAAUCGGAAUUACUGGGCGUAAAGCGUGCGCAGGCGGCGACAUAAGACAGAUGUGAAAUCCCCGGGCUCAACCUGGGAACUGCGUUUGUGACUGUGUUGCUAGAGUGUAGCAGAGGGGGUGGAAUUCCACGUGUAGCAGUGAAAUGCGUAGAGAUGUGGAGGAACACCGAUGGCGAAGGCAGCCCCCUGGGUUAACACUGACGCUCAUGCACGAAAGCGUGGGGAGCAAACAGGAUUAGAUACCCCAGUAGUCCCUGAGCGGGCUGGCAAGGCGCAU